AGCGAACGCUGGCGGCAGGCCUAACACAUGCAAGUCGAACGAAGUCUUCGGACUUAGUGGCGGACGGGUGAGUAACACGUGGGAACGUACCUUUUGGUUCGGAACAACUCAGGGAAACUUGAGCUAAUACCGGAUGAGCCCUUAGGGGGAAAGAUUUAUCGCCGAAAGAGCGGCCGCGUUAGAUUAGCUAGUUGGUGAGGUAAAGGCUCACCAAGGCUACGAUCUAUAGCUGGUCUGAGAGGAUGAUCAGCCACACUGGGACUGAGACACGGCCCAGACUCCUACGGGAGGCAGCAGUGGGGAAUCUUGCGCAAUGGGCGAAAGCCUGACGCAGCCAUGCCGCGUGAAUGAUGAAGGUCUUAGGAUUGUAAAGCUCUUUCACCGAUGAAGAUAAUGACGGUAGUCGGAGAAGAAGCCCCGGCUAACUUCGUGCCAGCAGCCGCGGUAAGAC
rnacentral:rRNA from 1 species